rnacentral:rRNA from 1 species
UACAGAGGUCUCAAGCGUUUGUUCGGAUUCAUUGGGCGUAAAGGGUGCGUAGGCGGCGCGGUAAGUCGGGUGUGAAAUCUUGGAGCUUAACUCCGAAACUGCAUUCGAUACUGCCGUGCUUGAGGACUGGAGAGGAGACUGGAAUUUACGGUGUAGCGGUGAAAUGCGCAGAUAUCGGGAGGAACACCGGUGGCGAAGGCGGUUCUCUGGGCCUUACCUGACGCUGAGGAGCGAAAGCGUGGGGAGCAAACAGG